rnacentral:rRNA from 1 species
AACGAACGCUGGCGGCAGGCCUAACACAUGCAAGUCGAGCGAGGACUUCGGUCCUAGCGGCGGACGGGUGAGUAACGCGUGGGAACGUGCCCUUUGCUUCGGAAUAGCCCUGGGAAAAUGGGAGUAAUACCGGAUGAGCCCUUUGGGGGAAAGAUUUAUCGGCGAAGGAUCGGCCCGCGUUGGAUUAGGUAGUUGGUGGGGUAAUGGCCUACCAAGCCGACGAUCCAUAGCUGGUUUGAGAGGAUGAUCAGCCACACUGGGACUGAGACACGGCCCAGACUCCUACGGGAGGCAGCAGUGGGGAAUCUUAGACAAUGGGGGAAACCCUGAUCGAGCCAUGCCGCGUGAGCGAUGAAGGCCUUAGGGUUGUAAAGCUCUUUCAGCUGGGAAGAUAAUGACGGUACCAGCAGAAGAAGCCCCGGCUAACUCCGUG